GAUGAACGCUGGCGGCGUGCCUAAUACAUGCAAGUCGAGCGAACGGACGAGAAGCUUGCUUCUCUGAUGUUAGCGGCGGACGGGUGAGUAACACGUGGAUAACCUACCUAUAAGACUGGGAUAACUUCGGGAAACCGGAGCUAAUACCGGAUAAUAUUUUGAACCGCAUGGUUCAAAAGUGAAAGACGGUCUUGCUGUCACUUAUAGAUGGAUCCGCGCUGCAUUAGCUAGUUGGUAAGGUAACGGCUUACCAAGGCAACGAUGCAUAGCCGACCUGAGAGGCGGAUAGCCCACAGGGGCGUGGAGCCGGGGCCGGACCUCCGAGGGGGGGCACCAGAGGGAAUUUUUCCCAAAGGGCCAAGAGCAGGACAAGACACCCCCGCGGGAGUGUGAGGGUUUUAAGAAGCGUAAAACUUUUUUUUAGGGAAAAAACAAGUGUGAAAUACCAUUUACAACUCUUAAGGAUCCCAAAGAAGAAGGCCAGGCCUAACACGGUG
rnacentral:rRNA from 1 species